UACGUAGGGGGCAAGCGUUGUCCGGAAUCAUUGGGCGUAAAGAGCGUGUAGGCGGUUCGGUAAGUCGGCUGUGAAAGUCCAAGGCUCAACCUUGGGAUGCCGGUCGAUACUGCCGGACUAGAGUUCGGAAGAGGCGAGUGGAAUUCCCGGUGUAGCGGUGAAAUGCACAGAGAUCGGCAGGAACACCCAGGGGGAAACCAGUCGACUGGGCAUCUACUGACGCUGAGGUGCGAGAGCGUGGGGAGCGAACCGG
rnacentral:rRNA from 1 species